GAUGCCAUCGGACAAGCAGGUGCUGGGCCACAUCAUUCCUGCUUCUCUUCCAGAAUACACGAGGGCCGGGGAACAUGUUCUUCCCCAGGGGAAGGAGAGGCUGAAAAUGAACUACCUUGUUGGUCAGGAAACCAGAGCCAGCCAACACCCAACAGGCCGGCUUUGAAAGCUUCACCGGAGACAGAAGUUAGAACAACAGGGGAAUCCCACAGCUCAGAAAGCUACCCAGCUCCCAAGAUGAGGAUAGUCAGCCAGAACCCCAGCUCCUUCCCAAGAGCCACCGUGUCCAGUAUGGUAGCCACCAGCUCCGUGUGACUAUUGGCUGAUCUGCACUGUGCUAGAUUGUGCGUGUAAAACAGGCACUGUUUCUGCUUUGUUGUGAGGGGCUGCCCUGUGCAUGGAGGGUGGUUAGCAGCAUCCUGGUCUCUGCCCUCUAGAUGCCAGUAGCACACACGGCUGCACUCGCUGCCCCUCCCCUUGUGACAACCAAAAACAUCCUAGACAAUUGCCAAAAUUGCCCCAAGUUGAAAAUCAUCCAGAUUUCAAACUUAGUAAGAAAAAAAAACCACAAAAUAACUAAUUAAUAAAUUUUUUUAGUAUUGAUGACUUGCUAAAAUGAU